rnacentral:rRNA from 1 species
CAGUAGCCGCGGGAAUACCAGCACCUCGAGUGGUCAGGAGGUUUAUUGGGCCUAAAGCAUCCGUAGCCGGUUGCAUAAGUUUUCGGUUAAAUCUAUGCGCUUAACGUAUAGGCCGCCGAAAAUACUGUGCAGCUAGGGAGUGGGAGAGGUACACGGUACUCGAUAGGAAGGGGUAAAAUCCUUUGAUCUAUUGAUGACCACCUGUGGCGAAGGCGGUGUACCAGAACACGUUCGACGGUGAGGGAUGAAAGCUGGGGGAGCAAACCGGAUUAGAUACCCCUGUAGUCCCUGUCUCUUAUAC